rnacentral:rRNA from 1 species
AUUGAACGCUGGCGGCAUGCUUUACACAUGCAAGUCGAACGGUAACAGGCCGCAAGGUGCUGACGAGUGGCGAACGGGUGAGUAAUGCAUCGGAACGUGCCCAGUCGUGGGGGAUAACUACUCGAAAGAGUAGCUAAUACCGCAUACGAUCUAUGGAUGAAAGCGGGGGACCGUAAGGCCUCGCGCGAUUGGAGCGGCCGAUGUCAGAUUAGGUAGUUGGUGGGGUAAAGGCUCACCAAGCCAACGAUCUGUAGCUGGUCUGAGAGGACGACCAGCCACACUGGGACUGAGGCACGGCCCAGACUCCUACGGGAGGCAGCAGUGGGGAAUUUUGGACAAUGGGCGCAAGCCUGAUCCAGCAAUGCCGCGUGCAGGAAGAAGGCCUUCGGGUUGUAAACUGCUUUUGUAAGGAAAGAAACGGCUCUGGUUAAUACCCGGGGCUAAUGACGGUACCGUAAGAAUAAGCACCGGCUAACUACGUG